rnacentral:rRNA from 1 species
GAUGAACGCUGGCGGCGUGCCUAAUACAUGCAAGUCGAGCGAACAGAUGAGGAGCUUGCUCCUCUGACGUUAGCGGCGGACGGGUGAGUAACACGUGGAUAACCUACCUAUAAGACUGGGAUAACUUCGGGAAACCGGAGCUAAUACCGGAUAAUAUAUUGAACCGCAUGGUUCAAUAGUGAAAGACGGUUUUGCUGUCACUUAUAGAUGGAUCCGCGCCGCAUUAGCUAGUUGGGAAGGUAACGGCUUACCAAGGCAACGAUGCGUAGCCGACCUGAGAGGGUGAUCGGCGACACGGGAGCUGGGACAGGGUCCAGACUCCUACGGGAGGCAGCAGUAGGGAAUCUUCCGCAAUGGGCGAAGGCUUGACGGAGCAACGCCGCGUGAGUGAUGAAGGUCUUCGGAUCGUAAAACUCUGUUAUUAGGGAAGAACAAAUGUGUAAGUAACUAUGCACGUCUUGACGGUACCUAAUCAGAAAGCCACGGCUAACUACGUG